AAGAAAGUUCGCAUUUGGCUACAACUAAUUUCGUUGUGGAAAGUAUAUAAUUUCGUUGCUAAUUCCAUUCGCAACGAAAAUAAGUCGUUGCUAGCUUCGUUGUCUUUUAUUUGUUACGGAAAGUUCGGGGCAACGAAUUAAAAGUUGUUGCCAAUACAUUUAGUUUGCGCAACGAAUUCAUGUCGUUGGCAAAUAUUUUUCGUUGCCUAUACAUUUAGAAUGCACAAUGAAUAUAUUUUGUUGGCAAUUAUAUAUCGUUGCCAAUGUAUUAUGUAUACACAACGAAUUUAUUUUCGUCGCCAAUAGUAUACACAACGAA
rnacentral:lncRNA from 1 species